rnacentral:tRNA from 1 species
GGAUGCUGUCCGGCUGGUCGAGGAAACUGUCCUGAAAACAGCUGGGGUGUUAUAGCCCUCGGGGGUUCGAGUCCCUCAGCAUCCGCCA